rnacentral:RNase_P_RNA from 2 species
UGGGUCGGCUGGACGGUCGCGUCGCGUGCGGUUCGCCGUAUCGCGCCGAGGAACGUCCGGGCUCCGUAGAGCAGGGCGGUGGAUAACACCCACCCGGAGUGAUCCGCGAGACAGUGCCACAGAAAAUAGACCGCCGCGGCUUCGGCCGCGGUAAGGGUGAAACGGCGGUGUAAGAGACCACCGGGGUCGCGGUGACGCGACUCGCUAGGUAAACCUCGCCCGGAGCAAGGCCAGACAGAGGAUGUUGACGCGGCUCGCCGAGUCCUCGGGUAGGCCGCUAGAGCGGCACGGCAACGUGUCGCCGAGAGAGAUGACCGUCCACGGGGCUUCGGCCCCCGGACAGAACCCGGCGUACAGGCCGGCCCAUUCG